rnacentral:rRNA from 1 species
AUGUCGAGCCCGGGCAUCUCAUCUAAUCUAUCGUCGGCAUCCGCCAUGCCUGGAGAGGUCAAUGGGGUGGGCAUUGUGGAGCAUGCAUCCGAGUUUUAUCUGCCGGAAGACACCUGCACCGGCUUGGAGUACUGCUCGAAGCACCAUUGCACUGGACAUGGCCUAGUUCCGGCCCGUCAAGUUGCCUGGGGAGGGGGAAGCACCGGCCGACAGUUUUUAGGGUGCCCACUUGAUUUGCCAGAAGAGUGCCACUGGUUGGUUUGGGUUGAUCCGCCUCCCCCAACUCGUGUUGCACUUGCAUUUGAAAACAUGCAUGCUGAGAUUGAACGGAUGUGGAUCAAAAGUCAUCAGUUGCAGAAGAGAAACCUGGAGCUGGCGAAGAAGCGCACUUUGAAGAAGAAACUGAAAGAGCGAGAUGAAAUGUUGCGUGUGUGGAUACUGUUGUUUGGUAUUACCCUAUUGUGUGUUGUUGUUGUGGCCAUCUCUGUGUCUUCACAGAUUUGA